rnacentral:lncRNA from 1 species
CCUGCCCCUGCCAAACUUUCAGUGACAAAAUCUUUAAGGGAUUAAAAACGAAUCUUGCUUUUAUUUGCCAACCUGGAAAAAACCAACUAGCACUGUUAAUGACAGGUAUCAUUAAGAUACUCUGUUCUCACCCUCCCUGAGCUCCUUCAGCAAUCAGCCAGAAGAGAAGCAGCAGCACUGAUACUUACCCAGGCUGGGCACUGGGGUACAAAACCGAAGAUGCCCUCAAGGAAUUUCAAAGGUUACGGAGUCCAUUAACAUGAAGCACUAAAACCCAAAAAGAA